UGGGGAAUAUUGCACAAUGGGCGCAAGCCUGAUGCAGCCAUGCCGCGUGUGUGAAGAAGGCCUUCGGGUUGUAAAGCACUUUCAGCGGGGAGGAAGGCGUUAAGGUUAAUAACCUUGGCGAUUGACGUUACCCGCAGAAGAAGCACCGGCUAACUCCGUGCCAGCAGCCGCGGUAAUACGGAGGGUGCAAGCGUUAAUCGGAAUUACUGGGCGUAAAGCGCACGCAGGCGGUUGAUUGAGUCAGAUGUGAAAUCCCCGGGCUUAACCCGGGAAUUGCAUCUGAUACUGGUCAGCUAGAGUCUUGUAGAGGGGGGUAGAAUUCCAUGUGUAGCGAUGAAAUGCGUAGAGAUCUGGAGGAAUACCGGUGGCGAAGGCGGCCCCCUGGACGAAGACUGACGCUCAGGUGCGAAAGCGUGGGGAGCAAACAGG
rnacentral:rRNA from 1 species